rnacentral:lncRNA from 1 species
CUCUUUUAGGAACAAUGUGUUCAGAGAGUCAGACAUUAAAAGGAAUUCUCAAGAAAAACAAGGUUGAACCUUUGGGAAAUUACUUCAGUAAAAGACUGUGAAGGAGGGCAGUAACAGUUCCCAAUUGAAGGGACUUUCUGAAGAGAAAUCUGAGCAGAGUUUACCUUGCUCCUGUAGCCCCGUGUCUGAAUUGUGGCCAAGGGGCCAAACCCAUGGUGAUGACAACCUGCCAAAGACUUAAGAACAACCAUCCUUUGUCUAAAAUAUCUUGAAAACCAGCCAAUGUGGAGAGACAUUCCCAAGGCAGAAAGUGGGGCAUCCAUCAUGGUCAUGAAGCAAGACUCAGGUGAGAUGGCAGUUACAGGCAAGAAGUAAAAAGCCAUUUAAUUAAAAACAAU